UAAAAUGCUAUAGGUAGCUUCCAAGGUGAAAAUAUGCCCCGUAACAUAAACACUAAAACUUUGUCAGCAACAUUGUUAGUGCGUUCACCACCUCCUAGAUCUUCAAACCCUUCAAUAACACCAAUACAACCUCAGAAUGCAGGGACUCAUGAGGUACAGGACUCAGUGAUUGUGAAUAAUGAGUGACAGAAGUUGUUGGCUCUAAAAUAUUG